UUUUGCUGUGAUUGUAAGGCCUCCUCAGUCAUGUUGAACUAUGAGUCAAUUAAAACUCUUUCCUUUAUACAUUAUCCAGUCUCAGGCAAUUCUUUUUAGCAG